rnacentral:rRNA from 1 species
CGGGGGGCAGCAGUAGGGAAUCUUCCGCAAUGGGCGAAAGCCUGACGGAGCAACGCCGCGUGAGUGAUGAAGGUCUUCGGAUCGUAAAACUCUGUUAUCAGGGAAGAACAAACGUGUAAGUAACUGUGCACGUCUUGACGGUACCUGAUCAGAAAGCCACGGCUAACUACGUGCCAGCAGCCGCGGUAAUACGUAGGUGGCAAGCGUUAUCCGGAAUUAUUGGGCGUAAAGCGCGCGUAGGCGGUUUUUUAAGUCUGAUGUGAAAGCCCACGGCUCAACCGUGGAGGGUCAUUGGAAACUGGAAAACUUGAGUGCAGAAGAGGAAAGUGGAAUUCCAUGUGUAGCGGUGAAAUGCGCAGAGAUAUGGAGGAACACCAGUGGCGAAGGCGACUUUCUGGUCUGUAACUGACGCUGAUGUGCGAAAGCGUGGGGAUCAAACAGGAUUAGAUACCCGUGU